UCUCAAAUCAGGUAGGACUACCCGCUGAACUUAAGCAUAUCAAUAAGCGGAGGAAAAGAAACUAACAAGGAUUCCCCUAGUAACUGCGAGUGAAGCGGGAAGAGCUCAAAUUUAAAAUCUGGCGUGCCUCCGGUCGUCCGAGUGUAGU
rnacentral:rRNA from 1 species